CAACCAAGGACGCAAGAAAUUCCUGUUGCCAAAAGAUCCACCAUCUUCUGGGAGCGUCUGAUCAGGAGCGGACCGGUGUGAUCGAACAGCUGGUAGGUGGGCGUAACUCGUCAGGGAGCUCAGCGGAUGGAACUGCAAAUCCCGUACUUCGCAUGGAGUGUCCAGACAACAGGGAGCC